UACAGAGGUCCCAAGCGUUGUUCGGAUUCAUUGGGCGUAAAGGGUGCGUAGGCGGCGCGGUAAGUCGGGUGUGAAAUCUCGGAGCUUAACUCCGAAACUGCAUUCGAUACUGCCGUGCUUGAGGACUGGAGAGGAGACUGGAAUUUACGGUGUAGCGGUGAAAUGCGUAGAUAUGCGGAGGAACACCGAUGGCGAAGGCAAUCCCCUGGACCUGUACUGACGCUCAUGCACGAAAGCGUGGGGAGCAAACAGG
rnacentral:rRNA from 1 species